GGGGCUGUAGCUCCAUGGUAGAGUGCCUGCCUAGCAUGCAUGAGGCACUGGGUUCAAUCCUCAGCAUCACA
rnacentral:tRNA from 1 species